rnacentral:rRNA from 1 species
AGUGAACGCUGGCGGUAGGCCUAACACAUGCAAGUCGAACGGCAGCACAGGAGAGCUUGCUCUCUGGGUGGCGAGUGGCGGACGGGUGAGGAAUACAUCGGAAUCUACUUUUUCGUGGGGGAUAACGUAGGGAAACUUACGCUAAUACCGCAUACGACCUACGGGUGAAAUCAGGGGACCUUCGGGCCUUGCGCGAAUGAAUGCGCCGAUGUCGGAUUAGCUAGUUGGCGGGGUAAAGGCCCACCAAGGCGACGAUCCGUAGCUGGUCGGAGAGGAUGAUCAGCCACACUGGAACUGAGACACGGUCCAGACUCCUACGGGAGGCAGCAGUGGGGAAUAUUGGACAAUGGGCGCAAGCCUGAUCCAGCCAUACCGCGUGGGUGAAGAAGGCCUUCGGGUUGUAAAGCCCUUUUGUUGGGAAAGAAAUCCAGCUGGCUAAUACCCGGUUGGGAUGACGGUACCCAAAGAAUAAGCACCGGCUAACUUCGUGCCAGCCGCCGCGGUAA